rnacentral:rRNA from 1 species
GGGCCCGCACAAGCGGUGGAGUAUGUGGUUUAAUUCGAUGCAACGCGAAGAACCUUACCAGGGUUUGACAUCCUGCGAAUCUCUUGGAAACAGGAGAGUGCCUUCGGGAACUCUGACACAGGUGCUGCAUGGCCGUCGUCAGCUCGUGUCGUGAGAUGUUGGGUUAAGUCCCGUAACGAGCGCAACCCCUAUCCCUAGUUGCUAGCAGUUCGGCUGAGAACUCUAGGGAGACUGCCGGUGACAAACCGGAGGAAGGUGGGGAUGACGUCAGGUCAUCAUGGCCCUUACGGCCAGGGCUACACACGUGCUACAAUGGUGCGUACAGAGGGUUGCAAACCCGCGAGGGGGAGCCAAUCUCACAAAACGCAUCGUAGUCCGGAUCGGAGUCUGCAACUCGACUCCGUGAAGUCGGAAUCGCUAGUAAUCG